UCCAAACCCUAGAUUACCGAAUUCCGCUGCCACCGGCCGGAGAGGACCAGCGGCGGCCGCAGGGGAGAAGAAGAUCUGCAACACAAUGGCUCUGGAAACCUGCUUCCAGGUGAGCACCGUCGCCCACUCCACCACCGCCGCCGCCGCCGCCAGGAACUGCAUCGCGCACCCCCACAAGCUGAACCUGCCGGCGAGCAGAGCCUCGAGGAGCGCCGCCUUCUCUCUCUCCCCGUCACCACCGGGGGCUUCGGGUUACCGAUCGACUGUCCUCGCGCCUCGGAGAGCCCGCGGUGGCCGCGUCGUCUGCCAGGCCAAUAACGCGGUCGCUGAAGGUGAGUGAACCUCUCCUGUUCUUAAUCCGGUGGUGUUGUUUGCGGAUCCGAUCUGAUUUUGGAGGUGCUCCGGAACGUCGAUCCAGUUAUUGAGGUGACGGAGGGGACCUGGAACGAUCUCGUCAUCAAGAACAGCAAGCUCGUGCUGGUCGACUUCUGGGCGCCGUGGUGCGGGCCCUGCCGGAUGAUCGAACCGGUGAUCAGCGAGCUCGCCAAGGAGUAUGCGGGGAAGAUCCUCUGCGUGAAGCUCAACACCGACGCGUGCCCGAACCUGCCGAACCAGUUUGGCAUCCGGAGCAUCCCGACGGUGCUCCUCUUCAAGAACGGGGAGAGGAAGGAGAGCAUCAUCGGCGCUGUGCCGAAGGGCACCCUCUCUGCCGCCAUCGAUAAGUAUCUUCAGAUGUGAUCUCUCUCUUCCCCGUUGUAAUCGUCACUCCAAGGGCGCGCCCCCCAACCGUUUGCUAUUAUUCCUCUGUAUAAACUCUUUUAGUGUUCCUGAGUUAUCUUUCCUGUAAUUACCCCUAGAUCUGUAAACCCUAAAACUCGAAUGCCAGAUCGGGAGUUUCAGACGGAUCCUACCUCCUCUGUGGGAUCAUCUUGUCUCUCUCCGAUGAAGAUUUGAAGCAGCUCUGAACCAUCCGGCGCCGGCGCCGGCGGAGGCACUGGCGGAGGUACCCGGCGGUUGUCCAACUCCCCGAGUGGGAGACGCAGCAGCGCCGCAAUAGAUCCAGGAUCCCCGUUCAUCCGAGGUUCGUCCGACAUAUUUUUGCUUAUCCAAGGAAUUAAAAUGAACACUCCUCGGUCAACCACAUGUCCAAUCUCUCCCGGCUCGAGAGCGGUAAAAAGGAAAACAGCAAUAAGUUUACCGUUCACGGUGACUUAUCUUUUUCCUUGCAUCCGGUCAACGUCGAAUCCAACCCAAAAAAUCUCCCAUGC
rnacentral:lncRNA from 1 species